rnacentral:rRNA from 1 species
AUUGAACGCUGGCGGCAGGCCUAACACAUGCAAGUCGAGCGGAUGAAGGGAGCUUGCUCCUGGAUUCAGCGGCGGACGGGUGAGUAAUGCCUAGGAAUCUGCCUGGUAGUGGGGGAUAACGUCCGGAAACGGGCGCUAAUACCGCAUACGUCCUGAGGGAGAAAGUGGGGGAUCUUCGGACCUCACGCUAUCAGAUGAGCCUAGGUCGGAUUAGCUAGUUGGUGGGGUAAAGGCCUACCAAGGCGACGAUCCGUAACUGGUCUGAGAGGAUGAUCAGUCAGAGUGGAAGAGAGAAGGAGAAGAGGCGAAAACGGGAGGAAGCAGGGGGGGAGGGGGGAAAAUGGGAGAAAGAGUGAUGGGACGAUGAAGAGGGUGGGAAGAAAGGUUACGGAAUUGAAAGAAAUGUAAGUAGGAAGAAAAGAAAGAGAAAGGAGAGCUUGCGGGUGGGAAGGGACGGAAAGAGAAAGAAGAGGACAAGUAAGUG